UGCUUGUCUCAAAGAUUAAGCCAUGCAUGUCUAAGCAGAGCCCUUGAAUGGUAAAGCCGCGAAUGGCUCAUUACAACAGCCACAGUUUAUUGGGUCUCCAUUUACUUGGAUAACUGAGCUAAUUGUUGAGCUAAUACACGCACCAAAGCUUCGACCUCACGGGAGGAGCGCAUUUAUUAGAACAAAACCAAUCGGACUUCGGUCCGUCCAUUGGUGAAUCUAAAUAACUUAGCCGAUCGCAUGGUCUCGCACCGGCGACUCACCUUUCAAAUGUCUGCCUUAUCACCUUUCUAUGGUAGUUUAUACGCCUACCAUGGGUUUUACGGGUAACGGAGAAUAAGGGUUCGACUCCGGAGAGGGAGCCUGAGAAACGGCUACCACAUCCRAGGAAGGCAGCAGGCA
rnacentral:rRNA from 1 species